CACCAAGCGAAAAAAAUUUCAAAUUUGUUAACAUCGGAUUUUCUGAAAAGAUUUCGUGAUACUACACAAAUCCAUCCUGAAAGUUUGAAACACAUUCCUGAAACUAAAAAAAAACCCCAUAAAUUUUCACAAACAAACUCAUCUCAGUCACACUCAGGAACAUUGGGAUUGCGGAUAAAAUACCACACAUAACAAGCACAAAAUAUAAUGGAAACAUUAAAUGUACUUGAGUGAGAGUUUUAAGAGGCAGAAGCCUUUGGUUCUGAACCUGCAUAUUAUGAGCCAAAUCAUCAUCAUCAUAAGCCAAAUCCUGAACAAAAAUGAAAAUAAUAAGCAAACCGUUCUCUCUAUAAUUUAAAGGAGAAAAAUAAAAGUGUAGAUGCUUCCCCUUAUCCUCAUAACUAUCGAUAUUCCCGAAUAUAGCUACAAUAAAAGAUUUUCUGAAACUACACAAAUCAUUCCUAAAAAAAUCACAAAAAUUUCACAAGCACAAGCAAUCGAAUAGAAAUUUCAUAAGAAAAUUUACGAGUCAACCAAACAUAUCAACAUGCAUAAGUCAAACAAGACACCAAGCAAAAAAAAAUUCAAAUUUGUUAACAUUGGAUUUUCUGGAAAGAUUUCCUGAAACUACACAAAUCCAUCCUGAAAUUAAAAAAAAAACCCACACAGUUUCACAAGUGCAAGCAAGAGACUAGUAAUGUCAUAAGCAAAUUCACGAGCCUACCAAAUAUAUCAACAUGCGUAAGACAAACAAGACACCAAGCAAAAAAAAUUCAAAUUUGUUAACAUCUGAUUUUCUCGAAAGCUUUUCUGAAACUACACAACUCCUUCCUGAAAUUUAAAAGAACAACACAAUUUCACAAGAACAAGCAAGAGACUAACAAUUUCAUAAGGAAAUUCACGAGCCUACCAAACAUAUCAACAAGCGUAAGCCAAACAAGACACCAAACAAAAAAAAUUCAAAUUUGUUAACAUCGGAUUUUCUGGAAAGAUUUCCUGAAACUACACAAAUCCAUCCUGAAAUUUAAAAAAAAAACACACAGUUUCACAAAUUCAAGCAAGAGACUAGAAAUGUCAUAAGCAAAUUCACGAGCCUACCAAAUAUAUCAACAUGCGUAAGACAAACAAGACACCAAGCAAAAAAAAAAAAUUUUGUUAACAUCUGAUUUUCUGGAAAGCUUUUCUGAAACUACACAACUCCUUCCUUAAAUUUAAAAGAACAACACAAUUUCACAAUAAAAAACAAGAGACUAACAAUUUCGUAAGCAAAUUCACGAGCCUACCAAACAUAUCAACAUGCGUAAGCCAAACAAGACACCAAGCAAAAAUAUUUUCAAAUUUGUUAACAUCGGAUUUUCUGGAAAACUUUCCUGAAACUAUACAAAUCCUUCCCGAAAUUUUAAAAACCACACAGUUUCACAAGCGCAAGCAAGAGACUAGAAAUGUCAUAAGAAGAUUCACGAGCCUAUCAAAUAUAUCAACAUGCGUAAGACAAACAAGAUACCAAGCAAAAAAAAUUCAAAUUUGUUAACCUCUGAUUUUUUGGAAGGCUUUCCUGAAACUACACAAAUCCUUCCUAAAAUUUAAAAAAACUACAUAGUUUCACAAGAACAAACAAGAGACUAACAAUGUCAUAAGCAAAUUCACGAGCCUACCAAACAUAUCAACAUGCGUAAGCCAAAUAAGACACCAAGCAAAAAGUUUUUCAAAUUUGUUAACAUCAGAUUUCUAGAAAGCUUUCCUGAAACUGCAGAAAUCCUUCCUGAAAUUCAAGAGCCUACCAAAUAUAUCAACAUGCCUAAGCAGAACAAGACAACAAGCAAAAAAAGUUUCAAAAUUCAGUACCAUCCGAUUUUCUGGAAGGCUUUCCUGAAACUACACAAAUGCUUCCUC
rnacentral:lncRNA from 1 species